CCGACUGCUAUUUGGGUGAGGAUAAGCCAUGCGAGUUGAAUGGGAAACCUAAAGUUCCCAUGGCAAACUGCUCAGUAACACAUGAUCAACUUACCCUAUAGAGAAAAAUAACCUCGGGAAACUGAGGAUAAUGUUUCAUAGUUGAAUUGGCUUGGAAAAGUUUUUCGACGAAAGGGGUAAAAAAAAUGGUUUUUAUCUGCUAUAGGAUAGGAUCGUGUUCGAUUAUGGUUGUUGGUGAGGUAAUGGCUCACCAAGCCGAUAAUCGAUAGGGGCCGUGAGAGCGGGAGCCCCGAGAUGGGUACUGAGACAACGACCCAGGCCUUACGAGGCGCAGCAAGCGCGAAACCUCCGCAAUACACGAAAGUGUGACGGGGUUACCCAAAGUGUUCAAUAGAACUGUGGUAGGUGAGUAAUGUUCCCUACUAGAAAGGAGAGGGCAAGGCUGGUGCCAGCCGCCGCGGUAAAACCAGCUCUUCAAGUGGUCGGGAUAAUUAUUGGGCUUAAAGUGUCCGUAGCCGGUUUAGUAAGUUCCUGGUAAAAUCGGGUAGCUUAACUAUCUAUAUGCUAGGAAUACUACUAUACUAGAGGGCGGGAGAGGUCUGAGGUACUGCAGGGGUAGGGGUGAAAUCUUAUAAUCCUUGUUGGACCACCAGUGGCGAAGGCGUCAGACUGGAACGCGCCUGACGGUGAGGGACGAAAGCCAGGGGAGCGAACCGGAUUAGAUACCCGGGUAGUCCUGGCCGUAAACGAUGCAUACUAGGUGAUGGCACGGCCAUGAGCCGUGUCAGUGCCGUAGGGAAACCGUUAAGUGUGCCGCCUGGGAAGUACGGUCGCAAGGCUAAAACUUAAAGGAAUUGGCGGGGGAGCACCACAAGGGGUGAAGCCUGCGGUUCAAUUGGAUUCA
rnacentral:rRNA from 1 species